rnacentral:rRNA from 1 species
AUUGAACGCUGGCGGCAUGCCUAACACAUGCAAGUCGAGCGGUAGAGCGAAGCUUGCUUCUCUUUAGAGCUGCGGACGGGUGGGUAAUGCCUAGGAAUCUGCCUUGUCUUUGGGGCUAACGUUCGUAAACGGACGCUAAUACCGCAUACGUCCUACUGUUGAACACAGUGGACCUUCGGUCCUUGCGCUAUCAGAUGAGCCUAGGUCGUAUUAGCUAGUUGGUGGGGUAAUGGCUCACCAAGGCGACGAUCCGUAGCUGGUCUGAGAGGAUGAUCAGUCACACUGGAACUGAGACACGGUCCAGACUCCUACGGGAGGCAGCAGUGGGGAAUAUUGGACAAUGGGCGAAAGCCUGACCCAGCAAUGCCGCGUGUGUGAAGAAGGUCUUCGGAUUGUAAAGCACUUUAAGUUGGGAGGAAGAGCAGUAAAUUAAUACGUUGCUGUUUUGACGUUACCGAAAGAAUAAGCACCGGCUAACUCUGUG